AGACAGUGCCUACGGGAAGCAGCAGUGGGGAAUAUUGGGCAAUGGGCGCAAGCCUGACCCAGCAACGCCGCGUGAAGGAAGAAGGCUUUCGGGUUGUAAACUUCUUUUCUGAGGGACGAAGAAAGUGACGGUACCUCAGGAAUAAGCCACGGCUAACUACGUGCC
rnacentral:rRNA from 1 species